rnacentral:rRNA from 1 species
UACGAAGGGGGCUAGCGUUGCUCGGAAUCACUGGGCGUAAAGGGUGCGUAGGCGGGUCUUUAAGUCAGGGGGGAAAUCCUGGAGCUCAACUCCAGAACUGCCUUUGAUACUGAGGAUCUUGAGUAUGGGAGAGGUGAGUGGAACUGCGAGUGUAGAGGUGAAAUUCGUAGAUAUUCGCAAGAACACCAGUGGCGAAGGCGGCUCACUGGCCCAUUACUGACGCUGAGGCACGAAAGCGUGGGGAGCAAACAGG